AAAAAUUAAAAUAAAAAUACUAAAAUAAUAUAUAAGUAUUUAUUGAAAAUUAAAUAAUUUGGCGGUAUUUUAGUUCAUUUAGAGGAAUCUGUUUAAUAAUUGAUAUUCCACGAAUAAAUUUACUUAAUUUUAUAAUUUUGUAUAUCGUUGUUAAAAAAAUAUUUUUUAAUAAAAUUAAUAUUUUAAAAUUAAAAUAUAAUUUUAAAUCAGAUCAAGAUGCAGAUUAUAGUUAAGAAUAUAAUGGAUUACAAUAAAUUUAUUUAAAUGAAUUUUAAUUUGUAAUAAUUAAUUGAAGGUGGAUUUAAAUGUAAUUUUAUUUAAUUUAAUAAAAUGAUUAAAAAUUGGAAUAUGU
rnacentral:rRNA from 1 species